rfam:Dipodomys ordii contig_30210, whole genome shotgun sequence.
GGGAAAGUGGCUCAGUGGUAGAGCACUUGCCUUGCAUGCAUGAGGCCCUGGGUUCGGAUUCCUCAGCACCA